GAUGAACGCUGGCGGCGUGCUUAACACAUGCAAGUCGAACGGAAAGGCCGAAGCUUGCUUCGGUACUCGAGUGGCGAACGGGUGAGUAACACGUGGGUGAUCUGCCCUGUACUUCGGGAUAAGCUUGGGAAACUGGGUCUAAUACCGGAUUUGACAAUCUCUUGGAUGGGGUUGUGGAAAGCUUUUGCGGUAUGGGAUGAGCUCGCGGCCUAUCAGCUUGUUGGUGGGGUAAUGGCCUACCAAGGCGUCGACGGGUAGCCGGCCUGAGAGGGUGUACGGCCACAUUGGGACUGAGAUACGGCCCAGACUCCUACGGGAGGCAGCAGUGGGGAAUAUUGCACAAUGGGCGCAAGCCUGAUGCAGCGACGCCGCGUGGGGGAUGACGGCCUUCGGGUUGUAAACUCCUUUCGCAACCGACGAAGCUUUUGUGACGGUAGGUUGAGAAGAAGCACCGGCUAACUACGUG
rnacentral:rRNA from 1 species